rnacentral:SRP_RNA from 1 species
UCUGGCUGUGCUGUACUUGGUGGCUGCACCUGUAGUCCUAGCUACUUGGGAGACUGAGGCAGGGAGGAUCGCUUGAGCCCAAGAGUUCUGGGCUGUAGUGUGCUCUGCCAGUCGGGUGUCUGCAUUAAGUUUGGCAUCAAUAUAGUGACCUCCUGGGAGUGGGGGGAUCACUAGAUUGCCUAAGGAGGUGUCAGCCAGCCCAGGUUGGAAACAGAGCAGGUCAAAACUCCUGUGGCAAUCAGUAGUAGCAUCAAACUUGUGAAUAGCCACUGCAUUCCAGGCUGGGCAACAUAAUGAGAUCCCAUCUCUU